GAUGAACGCUGGCGGCGUGCCUAAUACAUGCAAGUCGAGCGAACAGACGAGGAGCUUGCUCCUCUGACGUUAGCGGCGGACGGGUGAGUAACACGUGGAUAACCUACCUAUAAGACUGGGAUAACUUCGGGAAACCGGAGCUAAUACCGGAUAAUAUAUUGAACCGCAUGGUUCAAUAGUGAAAGACGGUUUUGCUGUCACUUAUAGAUGGAUCCGCGCCGCAUUAGCUAGUUGGUAAGGUAACGGCUUACCAAGGCGACGAUGCGUAGCCGACCUGAGAGGGUGAUCGGCCACACUGGAACUGAGACACGGUCCAGACUCCUACGGGAGGCAGCAGUAGGGAAUCUGCCGCAAUGGGCGAAAGCCUGACGGAGCAACGCGGCGUGAGUGAUGAAGGUCUUCGGAUCGUAAAACUCUGUUAUGAGGGAAGAACAAAUGUGUAAGUAACUAUGCACGUCUGGACGGUACCUAAUCAGAAAGCCACGGCUAACUACGU
rnacentral:rRNA from 1 species